CUCCCCCACCUCCCAGAAGGAAUCCGGUUCCCAAACUGGGAGAUGGUCCUGAUUACCACGGAGCAAUUAAGCAAGCUGCGGAGGAGAAGCCGUAGUGAAGACCCUCCCCACGCAUGCUGUGUUUGCUCAUAGGAGCAGGGGCAUGAAAGGUUUUGUAACAACAAAAAAGAAAGCUGGCUCCAAGUGUGGAAAGAAAGCAGAGGAAGGAACGGGUGGGGACCCUGUUGGCAGCUCUCCCUGAGGACGGGCCAGGAUGGGGGGUCCUGGGGUCUGGGAUUCUGACCCCAAUCUUUAGAGCAGUCCCUAAGCCCCUUGCUCGCAGGGAGUGAAGCACCAGCAGGCAUGGCUGCCAGGUCAGCAGACAGCCGACUCGGCUUCCUCGAUGGGCAGCUUGCCCCGAUGUCACGGCUGGCAUUCACCGUGGCCCAUGAAGGCGGUGGAGAGUGCCCCACAGGAGCAAUCUGCCGCCAAAGGGGACGUGACGCCUGCCAGGAAUGCCCAGCACACACCCAGUCUCGGGGCACCUGCCCUCACAGCUGGGGGGCGUCACCUAUGUGCCCCGAAUGUAGUAGAUCAUGUGGUGCCUGCACCAAGGCCGUGGCAUGAAAUUCAAUAAAAUUUCCCCAAAUUCA